GGGCUGCUCCUCUGCUCAGAAGUGUCAGGGAUUUGUAAAUAUUUCAUAAACGGGACCCCCUUUAGACCCGAUCCUCCCAGGUGAUUUGCUCUUGAACAAUUAACAGACUGAAGGCUGUGUUCCAUCUCCUCGCAGGCUCCCGCCAGGCACCCUUGGGAGCACAGGAGGAGAAAGGCUUUUUUCUUGAUCCGAUUACUGCUGCCCAGCGUUGAGAAGGAUUAAUUAACCCACCAGGUUUUGCUUCAUUACCAGGAAGAAAGAAAAGCCAGCGAUGGCUAGAUGAGCAUUUACAAAAUUGUAUUUCCUGGAACAAUGGUCCCAUGAGCUGCUCUGUGACAAUGUGUCUUGUCAUUCCUCGGCCGAGAGCGCACCAAGAACCGAGAACUAGAUGGCUGACCUGACAGACCCGACGGUUGGAAAAGAGGAGACCAGGAGCUGAGAGACAGGACACCAGUCAUAUUGGAUGAAGGGCCCACCCCACUCCGACAUGACCUCAUCUUAACUAAUGACAUCUGCAACGACCCUAUUUCCAAAUAAGGUCAUGCCCUGAGAUGCUGUAAGAUGGUGUCUCACUCAGUUGCCAAGGGCUGUAGUGCAGUGUCUUGAUCAUAGCUCACUGGAACCUUG